CAAGGAUGUGUGGUGAGCUGUCUGCCUUGGGCCUGGAGCUCUCACUCCAACAGCUCCCUAGUGGUCCUCGCAGCUGGUGGCCGGCGCACUGUGCUGCCUGCCCUGCCCUGUGAGUCUGCACACCAUGGCCUGCUCUGCUGCCUGGUGGGCACCCUCCCACUAGCCAUAUUCCUGCGGGUGUCCUCCUUGCCAAAGAUGAUCCUGCUGUCUGGGCUGACGACUUCCUACAUCCUUGUCCUGGAGCUCAGUGGAUACACCAAGGUUGGGGGCGGUGCCCUCUCUGGGCGCAGCUAUGAGCCCAUCAUGGCUAUCCUGCUGUUCUCAUGCACGCUGGCCCUGCACGCCAGGCAGGUGGACGUCAGGCUACGGCUGGACUACCUCUGGGCAGCACAGG
rnacentral:lncRNA from 1 species